rnacentral:rRNA from 1 species
GCUUGUCUCAAAGAUUAAGCCAUGCAUGUCUAAGUAUAGUACCUUAUACUGUGAAACUGCGAAUGGCUCAUUAAAUCAGUUAUCGUUUAUUUGAUGAUCUCUUACUACUUGGAUAACCGUAGUAAUUCUAGAGCUAAUACAUGCACAAAAUCCCGACUUACGAAGGGAUGUAUUUAUUAGAUACAAACCAACAUCGUGGUGAUUCAUAAUAACUUUUCGGAUCGCAUGGCGCAAGCCGGCGACGUUUCAUUCAAAUUUCUGCCCUAUCAACUUUCGAUGGUAAGGUAUUGGCUUACCAUGGUUACAACGGGUAACGGAGAAUUAGGGUUCGAUUCCGGAGAGGGAGCCUGAGAAACGGCUACCACUUCCAAGGAAGGCAGCAGG